UACGUAGGGGGCAAGCGUUGUCCGGAAUCAUUGGGCGUAAAGAGCGUGUAGGCGGCUCGAUAAGUCUGCUGUGAAAGUCCAGGGCUCAACCCUGGAAGGCCGGUGGAAACUGUCGGGCUAGAGUCCGGAAGAGGCGAGUGGAAUUCCCGGUGUAGCGGUGAAAUGCGCAGAUAUCGGAAGGAACACCAGUAGCGAAGGCGGUGCUCUGGGCCGGAACUGACGCUGAGGAGCGAAAGCGUGGGGAGCGAACAGG
rnacentral:rRNA from 1 species